rnacentral:rRNA from 1 species
UACGGAGGAUGCGAGCGUUAUCUGGAUUUAUUGGGUUUAAAGGGUGCGUAGGUGGCUGAUUAAGUCAGUGGUGAAAGUUUGUCGCCCAACGAUAAAAUUGCCAUUGAAACUGGUUAGCUUGAGUAUGCUUGAGGUAGGCGGAAUGCGUAGUGUAGCGGUGAAAUGCAUAGAUAUUACGCAGAACUCCAGUUGCGAAGGCAGCUUACUAAACCAUAACUGACACUGAAGCACGAAAGCGAGGGUAUCAAAC